UAACUCAAAACAAAAAUCAUAUAACUAUGGAGUUAAGUUUUAUGCACACCAGAAAUGAUAAAGAAAUGUCACUUAGAAUCAACUGGUGUCAUACCAAGGUAUUUAUUUUCUGUAAUUAAAAAACUGCCAAUGUGAACACCCCUUUAGCUUUUUCAUAUAGGGUAUAGAUGAAGCUAUGAAGCUAACUGAGAAGCAAUACAAUUAACAACUUACCACCAACCAUCAAAACCUUUGCUGGGAAAAAGGCUGGAGCUGACUUUUUUCUGCCUUUUAUGUCCCACUUUAUCUCCAUCCAUCCGUCUUCUUCUUCUAAAUCAGGGCACUGAGUGAUUACUUUUGGACAUUGUUGCUGGUCGUCAGUACUCAUCCAUAAAAUCUUCCCAACUUCCACAGUCUUGUCCUUGAAAUAAUAAAUGGCAAAUGGCAUUGUGGUAUCUAAUGCUGAAAAUUCAAUUUUAGCUAGGAUAUGUCUUCUCCUUCUUCUCCUUUCCUUGUUGAUACUGGUUGAGACCGUUAUUUAUUUAUUUUUUUUGCAAGGGAGACCUUGAAUUGGCGCGUGAGCGCUAAUUUAAAAUUGGGAGGCUCCCAUUGGCUGCCAGGUAGGGGCGGGACCAUGGCCAGAAGUGCCGUACCAGAAAUUUCUGUGGUGAUACUACCUGGAAGAAGCUGAGCUAGCUCAUUAGAGCUAACGUGGCUAAACAGUGUGGACCUUAUCAAAGAUAUUUAGAGGAUUACACAGCAGAGAUUCCAAGGACUACCAAGUACAGAUGGAAAGUAAAAGAUAGGGCAGAACUACAGGACAACUCACGAGAUCACAUUAGUCAGCCCACUGCUUCCCAUAGAGAAGUUACAGAUGAUGUCAACAGUAGGAGCUCUUCCACACCUAGGCUUUUGGAUUCUGCCCUUCAACAGAAUAUCAGUCAUGAUGACAUCAACACAGAUGGUCACAUGACUUACACUUCGACCAGUGGAGAGGAAGAACUCAACAAUUCCAGCAGUGAAGAUGAACUUGAUAGUGAGAGCUCUUCCACGGACAGUCUGUUGGAUAUGGACAUUCAAGAGAAUGAUAAUAUAGAUAACCACACCGACACAGAAGACCACUGGAGUAACACUUCCAGCAGUGAAAAUGAAGAUGAUGAACUCGACACUGAGAAACCAACCACAAGCCAGUUGGAUGUGGACGUCUCAGAGCUCUGCCACAUUCUGAAGAGGACUUGAUUGGUGCUGCCAUUGAUGAAGCUGAAAACCAUGCUGAUGACGAAGACGUGAUGGAGGGGAGUACAAGAGGAAAUGAACCUGAAUUUCCAGUGGGCAUUGAAGACCACACAGAUGGUGACAAGCCCCUAUAUCCUGGUGCACCUGUUUCAAAGGGAGAAAGUUUAUUGAUGCUGAUGUCCUAUGUGCUGCAUAACAACUUAACAGGCAAAGCACUUACUCAUUUACUGAAACUGUUCAAUCUAAUGUUUCCAGGUUUGAUUCCACCCUCACAUUCAAUUCAGUCUUUUGUUGAAGAACUUUACUUUAGUAAAAGGAAAACAGAAAAUUGUGAAAUGCUAAAUGAAAAUGUCAGAGGUUUUGGUCACCCCCCGGUGCAAACAAGUAUAAAAAUGUCAUAUAGGCUUGCCAUUGUGGAAAUCUAAGCAACUGCUUUUGGUCUUAGAACCGUUUUUUGGUAAAUGGACUUGUGUAUCACAGUCAAAACUAUGACAGACUAAAGAAGAGACACAAUAGUGCUGCAUGCUUGAAAGAUGGUACAUUUUGUUUAAUUUCUGACUUGGUUAUUUUUAAACAAACAUGUUCACAUCAAAUCCCUGCUUUUUGUUCUUGUGGCAAACUAUGUUGUGUUUUAGUUGAGGUACUUAGUAAAUCAGACAGGCCUGUAUUUAAAGAUUCACACAUCAGUGUACAAAGUACUUUCGUACAUGUUGUGAAAAAAGCUGAAACUGUUAAUGCUGUCUGGCCUGACAUGAUCAAAACAAAAUGUGUUCUUGUUGAAACAGCUGAUGCUAUGUACAUAACACCAUUG